rnacentral:rRNA from 1 species
CGUACAAGCAGUGGGAGCCCACUUGUUGGGUGACUGCGUACCUUUUGUAUAAUGGGUCAGCGACUUACAUUCUGUAGCGAGGUUAACCGAAUAGGGGAGCCGUAGGGAAACCGAGUCUUAACUGGGCGAAUAGUUGCAGGGUGUAGACCCGAAACCGGGCGAUCUAUCCAUGAGCAGGUUGAAGGUUGGGUAACACUAACUGGAGGACCGAACCCACAAAUGUUGAAAAAUUUGGGGAUGACUUGUGGAUCGGAGUGAAAGGCUAA